UCGAACGAACUCUGGUAUUGAUUGGUGCUUGCAUCAUGAUUUACAUUUGAGUGAGUGGCGAACUGGUGAGUAACACGUGGGAAACCUGCCCAGAAGCGGGGGAUAACACCUGGAAACAGAUGCUAAUACCGCAUAACAACUUGGACCGCAUGGUCCGAGUUUGAAAGAUGGCUUCGGCUAUCACUUUUGGAUGGUCCCGCGGCGUAUUAGCUAGAUGGUGAGGUAACGGCUCACCAUGGCAAUGAUACGUAGCCGACCUGAGAGGGUAAUCGGCCACAUUGGGACUGAGACACGGCCCAAACUCCUACGGGAGGCAGCAGUAGGGAAUCUUCCACAAUGGACGAAAGUCUGAUGGAGCAACGCCGCGUGAGUGAAGAAGGGUUUCGGCUCGUAAAACUCUGUUGUUAAAGAAGAACAUAUCUGAGAGUAACUGUUCAGGUAUUGACGGUAUUUAACCAGAAAGCCACGGCUAACUACGUGCCAGCAGCCGCGGUAAUACGUAGGUGGCAAGCGUUGUCCGGAUUUAUUGGGCGUAAAGCGAGCGCAGGCGGUUUUUUAAGUCUGAUGUGAAAGCCUUCGGCUCAACCGAAGAAGUGCAUCGGAAACUGGGAAACUUGAGUGCAGAAGAGGACAGUGGAACUCCAUGUGUAGCGGUGAAAUGCGUAGAUAUAUGGAAGAACACCAGUGGCGAAGGCGGCUGUCUGGUCUGUAACUGACGCUGAGGCUCGAAAGUAUGGGUAGCAAACAGGAUUAGAUACCCUGGUAGUCCAUACCGUAAACGAUGAAUGCUAAGUGUUGGAGGGUUUCCGCCCUUCAGUGCUGCAGCUAACGCAUUAAGCAUUCCGCCUGGGGAGUACGGCCGCAAGGCUGAAACUCAAAGGAAUUGACGGGGGCCCGCACAAGCGGUGGAGCAUGUGGUUUAAUUCGAAGCUACGCGAAGAACCUUACCAGGUCUUGACAUACUAUGCAAAUCUAAGAGAUUAGACGUUCCCUUCGGGGACAUGGAUACAGGUGGUGCAUGGUUGUCGUCAGCUCGUGUCGUGAGAUGUUGGGUUAAGUCCCGCAACGAGCGCAACCCUUAUUAUCAGUUGCCAGCAUUAAGUUGGGCACUCUGGUGAGACUGCCGGUGACAAACCGGAGGAAGGUGGGGAUGACGUCAAAUCAUCAUGCCCCUUAUGACCUGGGCUACACACGUGCUACAAUGGAUGGUACAACGAGUUGCGAACUCGCGAGAGUAAGCUAAUCUCUUAAAGCCAUUCUCAGUUCGGAUUGUAGGCUGCAACUCGCCUACAUGAAGUCGGAAUCGCUAGUAAUCGCGGAUCAGCAUGCCGCGGUGAAUACGUUCCCGGGCCUUGUACACACCGCCCGUCACACCAUGAGAGUUUGUAACACCCAAAGUCGGUGGGGUAACC
rnacentral:rRNA from 1 species